rnacentral:rRNA from 1 species
UACGUAGGGUGCAAGCGUUGUCCGGAAUUAUUGGGCGUAAAGAGCUCGUAGGCGGUUUGUCGCGUCUGCUGUGAAAAUCCAGGGCUUAACCCUGGACCUGCAGUGGGUACGGGCAGACUAGAGUGCGGUAGGGGAGAUCGGAAUUCCUGGUGUAGCGGUGAAAUGCGCAGAUAUCGGGAGGAACACCAGUAGCGAAGGCGGCACUCUGGGCCGGAACUGACGCUGAGGAGCGAAAGCGUGGGGAGCGAACAGG